GCGAACUCAACUUAGACAAUGAAUCUAACACACUUAUAGAUGUGCGAGACAUCUGUAUAAUAAGAAUGGACAAGUUUUGCAUGGAAAAAAAACAACAAAGAAAUAAACAAAGGAUAUAAAUGAGCCCUUUCAUGGACCAAAAUAUAUUUUAUCAGUUAAAAUAUUAACUUGAGUUCUUGUCAUAACAAAUAAUUUUCAAAAUAAGAAAAUAAUAACUAAAAUUUACAAGAGAUGUUUCAAGGAGGGAUAAUAAUAAGAGACUUUAAAGGAGGAAAAUGAAUCAGAGAAAAUGGCUAGAUAAUACUAUAAAUAAGGCGAGCGUCACAUGUCUGAAAUAACCAAAAGAAACAACUUCCUCAAAAGAAGGAAUUAAUUCUCUAAGAAAUAUUUUAAAUCUUGUUGCGAGAAGGAUCACCGCAAGAUCCUCAACUUCAAAAAACUAUUGCCAAAAAGCAGCAUCAACAAGGACCCAGAAGGAGACGGCCGCAUGUUUUCUUUUCUUUUUUAAAUUCCAAUUCAUUCUCCUCCGCAUACAGCCCCACUAACCAUUGAGUUUACAAGAAAUACCUCCAGACUGAGGUGUAUUCUUUUUGUAUUCAACGCGAUUUCUAUAUUUGGAUGAAGGAAAAAAAACAAAAAAAAAGGAAAAAAGAAAAGCAAAACAAAACAAAAGACAUUAACAAGCUCUUCCAUUUGUCAAAAUUUUCCUUUUGUUAAAUGUCUCCAAAGAAAGAGAUAUCUCCAAAACAAAAAAUUAAGUGGAAUUCAUAAGAAAUGACUCCAAGAUGAGAUAUAUAGUGAGGUUCAAGUAAAAUUUGCAAGAGCUGUAUCCACAAGAGUUAUACACAAAGCAGAAGGUAACAUGGUGUUUCGGUGUAAAGACGAGCAUUACCUCUUCCAAUUCAAUUCUGUUAAUAUUACUUGGAUUACACAUGGCCUUUGCCUCCUCCACUGUUAUUUUUUUGCUUCGUAACUUCUCUAAAACAAUCCUUGCGGCCUGAUACACAAUUGCAAGCACGCAUGUAAUCAGUCAUUAUUUAAACCAAACUGCUAUGAAUUUUUCCCAUUCCACCUCAUCCAAGAAGUUAAGACUGACGACUGCUGUGGGACCAACUUAUGCACUAAUUCCCAGAGCCAAGACAAAACUCUAACUUCAACCCAAAUCCACUGCUUUUCUUUAGCUUUAGCAUCCUCCAACAAAGUGUGGAACUAAUCUCUAACCCAACAGACCAAACAGAUAUAAGGGAAAGCCUAACAUAUAUGACAGACUAAGGUAAAACAGAAAAAGCGCCAUGCUUUGGUGCUAGUGUACCAUACAUGAUCACUCUACCAUUCCACAUAUGACUAUUACAAAUCUAACUGAAAAUUUUAAAGUGCAAGAAUAUUACCUUCAAAAUCGAAUCCUUAUGACCCUGCUUCAUAAAACUAAAACCUCUUCUCUCCCUAUAAAUACUAGGAAGUGCGAGCUUGAGCUUUACGGAUUGAUCCGUCACCUUUUGCGCGGACUCGGCAAUAACUCCUAAAACAACCCUGUGCCACAAGGAAAACAAAAACAGAACACUUGAAGUCUAAAUUUAAAAUCAAAUCAAGAGUUGUAGCGAGUUGGCAACUUCCUUACAGAAUCCAACACAAAAGAUUAACGCACCUCACGAACAAGAAAGAGAAAUGGACUGUACCUCUUUGCAGCAUCUUCAGACUUCUUCAACAUAUCUGCAGAUAUGCUUAACCUUGGUGGUGAAGCCAAGGGAAGUUCACGAAUUUCCUCAGGCCUUUUUUCCUUGGCAAGCAGUUCAACACCAGAAUGUUUCUUUUUUGCACUUUUAUCUACCAGUAUAGGCUUUAAAGAAGAAGACGCUUUGGCCUCUAAGCUGGGUGACACAUUAGCUUCAGCGGCGACUUUCGAUUUGAGUUGUUUGAACACCUCAGGAUCCCCAGGGCGCUCAAGGACUCUUGGGAACUUAACGUGGUUCCGUUUAGGCGUGCCUAAAUCUUUCAUGAUUUUAUGUUUCCUGUAAAUAGAGCGAAGUGUAUAGGAUUUAGAAACCACCUCAUUAGGUCCUGGUGAAUAGUGACAAAUGG
rnacentral:lncRNA from 1 species